GGUGAGAUGGCCGAGCGGUCUAAGGCGCCAGACUAAGGACCAGCACAUUUGAUGUGCAAGUUUAUCUGGUCCGAAAGGGCGUGGGUUCGAAUCCCACUCUCAUCA
rnacentral:tRNA from 1 species